CCGCACAGGAUCAUUCAAUGCCCCGCUGAACAUGACAGACAUGUUUUCAUCAGUUCUUGUCUCUGAUUCUGACAGUGACAGGAACGGAUUGGUAUACAUAAACACAAGUUAAAAUUAUUUUUUAUUCAGAGAUGCGGACCAUUCAUACGGAGUACUGCUACCAAAAAAGGCACAAGGAACUGGGAAAAAAAAUCACACAGAGAUCAAUCACCCUAGAGGCUUGGAUCGCAGCCUAGCUAGCAUUGAUGAAGAAGGCAAGGCAAAGCCCAGAGGAAGCCGUCUCGUCUGCCGGUUUGUUGCCGCGUCGCCGUCGCUGCGUCGUUGCAGCGGCCGCCCCAUCAAAUGCGUCUCAGCACUUCAGCAGAGUGCCAAGGAUCCGAGUCCGACCGAUCAGUUCCCCCCCGCGUGCGUUUGCGUUUGCUUGCACGGGUUGCCGAGUCGCCGUCGCGUCCCGCCGCCGCCGCCGGUGCAGCCGAAAGCGC
rnacentral:lncRNA from 7 species